rnacentral:other from 1 species
GCGGAGCUGCGGGGUUUGUGCAGGAUCAAAUACCCGGGGCCUUAUCGAUACCAACGGGGACUGUCCCUGAUCUCGUCCGAGGACCUGAUCAUAUGGUGCCCACCUACUUCGUAGGUUUCCCGGGUUCGAUAUCCCACGGCCCAGUGGCCCCGCA